AGCGAAGGGGUGACCCCGAGCUAAUCUCCAAAAGCCAUCUCAGUUCGGAUUGCACUCUGCAACUCGAGUGCAUGAAGUCGGAAUCGCUAGUAAUCGCGUAACAGCAUGACGCGGUGAAUACGUUCCCGGGCCUUGUACACACCGCCCGUCACACCAUGGGAGUUGGAUCUACCCGAAGAUUGUGAGCUAACUUCGGAGGCAGCAAGCCACGGUAGGUUCAGCGACUGGGGUGAAGUCGUAACAAGGUAGCCGUAGGGGAACCUGCGGCUGGAUCACCUCCUU
rnacentral:rRNA from 13 species